rnacentral:lncRNA from 1 species
UUUCUUAAAUGCCUGGAGAAAGGCUUCCAACAGAAACAGAAGACAGCAGGAGAACGUCACAGGAUCAGGUGCUAGCAUGAAGGCUUUCGAAACUGCUCAUUGAAAUGUCUUGGUCUGGGAAUCAGAAGACUUCACAAGCUUUUCAACAAAUUCUACAAGUUUUCAAGCACUCUGGAAAUACAGCAUUUGCUAUUGGAUGACAUGAAUUCUCUUUUGAUGGACAGAAAUGUAACGAAGGCACCGGAUGAAUAGGGUUCCCAGUGCCGAUUCCGACACUGUGAAGAAGCCCUUGGCAGUGACACUGUGUGCUCAUUAUGGAGAGAGAGAAAAUGUUUAGACCCACUUUGCAGAUUUAGACACAUGGAAAUGCAGCAAAACUGCAGCAUUUCAUGCUUCUGGGAAACCCAACCUCUUGGUUGUGUGAAGAUCAGUUGUAUCUUUUACCACAGCAAACCCCGAAAUAUCAAUGGAUUAUUUUUGCCACCAAGUAGCAAUACCACCUUACAGAAAGAAAGUCAGGAAGGAAGCCCACCCCCAACCCAGAGUCAGGAACCUCUGAAACCCAUGGAGAACGUAUCAAGACCCAUUCAUCAUCCAUUAGUUUUAAAAACUAACUUUGAAGAGGAGGAGGAGGAGGAAGAGAAACCAAAUG